rnacentral:lncRNA from 1 species
AUGCCGGAGGCUAACACUCACGACAGCAUUCUCAGUGGGUUAUCGGCAGUAAAUGCAGCUGUGCUGGUGUCGCGUGUUCCGUGGCUGCUUCACGUCCCUGGACCCUGGCCAGGAUGCGGAGGAAGAGCACCUAUUUUGUCGAGAGUCAUCGUGGAGGAAGCGUGCCAUGGUGCCACAUACUCCAGCUCAUCCCACCACCCAAACAAGCAGCUUUUUUAUCACAGAAGGCUCGCGAGCCGCACGCGGUCACCUGUCAUCAUUGUCCCCGUGACACGUCUGUCGGUGAUCCCGCUGCACACUGCAAAAAACUCCAAGUCCCAUCAUGCCUCAUCCGGCCAGGCAGGAGUCACAUCCGGCUGUAGUCAUUUUGAAAGAGACACUCAUGUCCAGUGGGAUGUCCACUCCAGUGAAGGUACGCUGUAUCAAAAUGU